rnacentral:rRNA from 1 species
CUAAUACAUGCAAGUCGAACGCUUUGUGGUUCAACUGAUUUGAAGAGCUUGCUCAGAUAUGACGAUGGACAUUGCAAAGAGUGGCGAACGGGUGAGUAACACGUGGGAAACCUACCUCUUAGCAGGGGAUAACAUUUGGAAACAGAUGCUAAUACCGUAUAACAAUGACAACCGCAUGGUUGUUAUUUAAAAGAUGGUUCUGCUAUCACUAAGAGAUGGUCCCGCGGUGCAUUAGCUAGUUGGUAAGGUAAUGGCUUACCAAGGCGAUGAUGCAUAGCCGAGUUGAGAGACUGAUCGGCCACAAUGGGACUGAGACACGGCCCAUACUCCUACGGGAGGCAGCAGUAGGGAAUCUUCCACAAUGGGCGAAAGCCUGAUGGAGCAACGCCGCGUGUGUGAUGAAGGGUUUCGGCUCGUAAAACACUGUUGUAAGAGAAGAAUGACAUUGAGAGUAACUGUUCAAUGUGUGACGGUAUCUUACCAGAAAGGAACGGCUAAAUACGUGCCAGCAGCCGCGGUAAUACGUAUGUUCCAAGCGUUAUCCGGAUUUAUUGGGCGUAAAGCGAGCGCAGACGGUUAUUUAAGUCUGAAGUGAAAGCCCUCAGCUCAACUGAGGAAUUGCUUUGGAAACUGGAUGACUUGAGUGCAGUAGAGGAAAGUGGAACUCCAUGUGUAGCGGUGAAAUGCGUAGAUAUAUGGAAGAACACCAGUGGCGAAGGCGGCUUUCUGGACUGUAACUGACGUUGAGGCUCGAAAGUGUGGGUAGCAAACAGGAUUAGAUACCCUGGUAGUCCACACCGUAAACGAUGAGUGCUAGGUGUUUGAGGGUUUCCGCCCUUAAGUGCCGCAGCUAACGCAUUAAGCACUCCGC